rnacentral:rRNA from 1 species
GCGUGGGUGAAGAAGGCCUUAGGGUUGUAAAGCUCUUUCACCGGUGAAGAUAAUGACGGUAGCCGGAGAAGAAGCCCCGGCUAACUCCGUGCCAGCAGCCGCGGUAAUACGGAGGGGGCUAGCGUUGUUCGGAAUUACUGGGCGUAAAGCGCACGUAGGCGGGCUGUUAAGUCGGGGGUGAAAUCCCGGGGCUCAACCCCGGAAUGGCCUUCGAUACUGGCAGUCUUGAGGUCUGGAGAGGUGAGUGGAAUUCCGAGUGUAGAGGUGAAAUUCGU